GAAACAUUUUUGAAAAAAAAAUAUUUAGGCACCCUAUUAAUUUUAUUUUAUUCAUUUCUCAUUUUUAUUUAUUUAACCCUUAUGUAGAUUUUUCAAAACUGUGGUAUAUAACUUAGUUUUUUCUCUAUCGACUACUACUGUAGUACAAUUACAUCGGGAUCGAAGUCGGGCUCGAAAAGCAAUUAAUUCAAAAACAACACACCGCGCCGAAAUUCAAUUUUUUGGAGGGUUCCACGCAGCCAUGUUGAACUUGAUCAUGAUGUUGUACGGGAGGAAGGGACGAAGGAGGGUGACCCGAAAGGAGAAGCAUGAUAAGCUUUGGAUGGAAUUUCUGUUUUAACAGAAGUUGAAGACAUUUACGACCCUGUUUAGCGUUGCAGUGUGGACUGUGCCUGAGACGAUUCCCCACAGCGCCGGCUAUGUAGACAGCUUGUGAAAAUGGAAUCCAAAUGCUCACAAGAAAUGACAAAAGCAGUAUGAAGAUUAACACAAAGAAAUUGUGCCAGAAAAGUUUGAAGUAGCUAUGGGAAUGAUCAACAUUGAACUUGCUGAGCCUUCCUUCUGAAAGUGACUUGACCUGAUAUUUGGCUACCCGGUAUGAGAUAAAAUAUCGUGGAGGAACACGAAGAAAAGGGCUGCGCAUCUCAGCAUAUUCAAGGUCAAGCAGCUUUUUACCAUAUCCAUAUUAUCUUGCUGCUAAAUGAAAGAAUUAUUGUGGAGGAGCAGAGAAAAGGGCACCUCAACAUGUUCAAGGUCAAACAGAAAUUAGGAGCUAUAUGUGCUUCUCCAGAGCUGAAAACUUCUUGGGAUGAAGAGAAGAAAAAGCAAGAAGAAGCAGUUUUAAAUAUUGAUUAUGUCUUCGUAGCACAAAUGAUUCGAAAGAUGAUACUAUCUAUGAAAUUAGAAAACUGAAGUGGCGUUCUGAUGAAUUUGACGUCCUCAAAGAACAGGACAUCAAAAGUGCUAUUCUCAAA